UUUCUUAUCAAAACACCAGAUUUGUGUCCAGCGUCCCUUUGCCAGAACUGCUUGUCAGCGAUGGUUUAAGGUUGUAUGCUGAGGCAGUUCGAUCGUCUAUGGAGCCAUCAACCUACCAAGGUAAUUUAUGAUGUCAAUAUCCGAUCGACAAAUCUCAGAAUGAUCGGUCCUUAUGAAACUUGAGUCGCUUCGGCUGAUUCGGUGGAUGAGUGUACUGAAGACGUCAGAUUCCAAAUCUGUUUGCCUAGGCUGUUAGCCCUUGAGGUUGCGGAAUAACCCUCUCGUCUACAUUU
rfam:Botryotinia fuckeliana BcDW1 unplaced genomic scaffold Scaffold_112, whole genome shotgun sequence.